AGCAUGGUGGAGUGGUCUGAGCAUUGGACUACAACUCUGGAAACCAGGGUUCAAAUCCCUGCUAGGCCA